CGUCGCGGGGCGGCAUUCCCAUUGCCAAGUCGAACGAUGAACAUUCUUCGGAAUGUGGAAGAGUGGCGAACGUUUUGAGGAACACGUAAGAAUCUGCCCCUCGGUCGGGGACAACUCUUGGAAACGAGAGCUAAUACCCGAUACGCUGUGGAGUGAAAGAAUUUCGCCGAGGGAUGAUCUUGCGUCUGAUUAGCUAGUUGGUGUGGUAAUGGCAUACCAAGGCGACGAUCAGUAGCUGGUCUGAGAGGAUGAACAGCCACAUUGGAACUGAGACACGGUCCAAACUCCUACGGGAGGCAGCAGUGGGGAAUUUUCCGCAAUGGACGAAAGUCUGACGGAGCGACGCUGCGUGAAGGAUGACGGCCUGCGGGUUGUAAACUUCUUUUCUCGAAGAAGAAGCUCUGACGGUAUUCGAGGAAUAAGCAUCGGCUAACUCCGUGCCAGCAGCCGCGGUAAUACGGAGGAUGCAAGUGUUAUUCGGAAUGAUUGGGCGUAAAGCGUCUGUAGUCUGUAUAGAAAGUCUUUUGUUAAAUGCCUCGGCUCAACCGAGAUCCAGUAAAGGAAACUUCUAUACCUGACGGAAGUUGAGGUUCCGGCAAUUCCCGGUGGAGCGGUGAAUUGCGUACAUAUUGGCAUAAAUAC
rnacentral:rRNA from 1 species